CUACGGGGCGCUGCAGUGGGGAAUAUUGGACAAUGGGGGCAACCCUGAUCCAGCCAUGCCGCGUGUGUGAAGAAGGCCUUUUGGUUGUAAAGCACUUUAAGCAGUGAAGAAGACCUAACGGUUAAUACCCGUUAGCGAUGACAUUAGCUGCAGAAUAAGCACCGGCUAACGCUGUGCCAGCAGCCGCGGUAAUACAGAGGGUGCAAGCGUUAAUCGGAAUUACUGGGCGUAAAGCGAGCGUAGGUGGCUUGAUAAGUCAGAUGUGAAAUCCCCGGGCUUAACCUGGGAACUGCAUCUGAUACUGUUAAGCUAGAGUAGGUGAGAGGGAAGUAGAAUUCCAGGUGUAGCGGUGAAAUGCGUAGAGAUCUGGAGGAAUACCGAUGGCGAAGGCAGCUUCCUGGCAUCAUACUGACACUGAGGCUCGAAAGCGUGGGUAGCAAACAGGAUUAGAUACCCCUGUAGUC
rnacentral:rRNA from 1 species